UCCUCGGGAAAGACAUCACCAUAACCUUGCAAAGGAGAAGAAACAACACUAGGUAAAGAGUUAGUUUGUUCACUGUUGACACCUAAUUUUGGCUCGACGUGCUUAAAAUUAACGUUUUGGGGGGCCCUGAUCCAUUAAAGAGCACGAAAUACAAUUUUUUACAUAUUUUACAUUUUUUUGACAAUUUAUUGAUGAUUAUCCUUAUUUUGGGAAUUUUAUCAAUUUAUUGUCAUUUUUUCCAAGAAUCAUUAUUUUACACAUGUAUAGCGUAAUACUAUCAUUUUUUUUGUUUUUUUUUUUGUUUUUUGUGCAAUUAAUAAUUGUUUCUUAAUUUUAUAGCUAUAGCUUUUCAUAUCUUACACAUGAAUAUUUAUAUUUUAUACUUACAUUAUUAUUUAUACAUGUAUUAAUUAACUAUAUUUUAGUACAGCUCGACGGUGCAGAGAAAAGCGGAGCAACUAAUUUUUUUUUAAAAACGCAGAGCAAAAUUCGAUCAAGUCAAGGUCUCGUCAUCUUUUAAAAAAGUUGACGUUUGAAGUGAUGAGUUGGGUUCUUGAUCCAUUGACUAAUAAACUUUAUACAUUGGUUAGAAGGGUGAAAUCCCCAUUGGACAAUAACCCAAGGAUUAAAAUAAGCAUUGAGGGGACAAAGGGGAGUUCUUUUAUUUUUUAUUUUUUUUUGACAAAACGGGGUGUUCAUUGAUAUUAUAAGAAAAGGCGGGGGUUAAAUUUUAUUUUUUUCAUCUUUCAUCUUCUUCCUCAAAACCCUAGCCGCAUUCACUUAACAAACCAAUUCAUUCUCCCAAACAUUUUUUUUUCACUCCAAAGUCGACCACCACCCUCACCGCCCCUCGACGCCGGAGCUCCAAGCUCCGGCGAACGUCUCCACCAGCCCACUACGCCCUCCGUUCUCCCAGCCAGCAACCCACAGCAACCAACUACACCACCAUCUUCCUCCCAUCUCACACGCUCUGUUUUCCCCCCCUAAAACCCAACUAAACCCAACUAAACCCAACCGACAUUCUUGAUUUCGGCCAGCUAACAUUCAACAUCGUACAUAACACAAUAAAACAUAGUCCUUUUUCAUAGAAGAAUCUGAGAUUGCUUUGGCUAGUCUCAAAAGAAGAAGUGACGUUCCCUUGCCAAAGCCUGUUCCUUGCCUGAAUCAGUCAUUUCUCAAGGCCUCCGCUGCCCAAGCAUCAGAGGAGAUACUUGAAGACAACCUCCUGGAAAGUUUUAAGAACUUAUUCAUGGCCGAUGAAGAAAUUUCCGUCGAUUUCCAAGGCCUUUCAUGUACAAAGACGGGUUUUUUUUUAUUUUAAGUUUAUUCAUUACUUUUUUUAAUUCAUCCGAUAAUUAUUUAUUCUCUUACUAACAUUUUUAUUAAGUCUCAUGCAGGCAUCCGGAGUUACUUUUGAAGAUGACACUCAAAAGAAGUUCAAAUAGCUUUUUAAACUCUUUGUUUAUAUAUAUAUUUUUUACCUUCUUAAAUUAUGCAAGCAUAAGAUAUAGUGAAACUUUACUUUUUAGGGUGCAGGUUGGCGGUAUUUAUUUAUGAUCUGCUUAUGUGAUUUAAAUUUUAUGUGUUUUAGACAAAUUAACAUUAGACAAUUAUUAUUUUUCGUAGCUAAUAUUCUUAUAGUUAUCACGUUUCGCUAGAGUUUUAAUUUAGUAGCUUAGCAUACUUAAGUGAAUAAAUAGGGUGAUUUGCCUCAAUAUUUAGGUUUUAGAAUAUACUUUCAUAAUUAAUUGAUUAGGUGUACAUACUUAACUAGUUAAAUUAGUUAACUCACUUCGAGUGCAAAAAUAAUUUCAUGUCCAUUUUUAUACCUUUGUCACAUACCCAAGCUUCUAAGUUGCACAUAACAUUUUUUUUAAUAAUUAUUAUAUCACAUAUGUAUAAAAUACGUAUUGCAUGAUUAUUUAUGUGAAUAUUCAUAUCAUUCUUUAGUCUAAAUUCUAUUAAUUUUUGUAAAUAAUAAAGCCUUUUUACACAUCCCUCGUAUAGUUAAAUUGGUCCAGCCGGGAACCACAUUUGUGGAUUCUGAAGGAUGCCUAACACCUUCCCUUCGGAAUAAUUUGAACCCUUACCUAGAAUCUCACUUAUUUUCGUAGACCAUGUUAAGCUGCAUAUAUUAAUAAUUUAUAGGUACCCUAGUAUACCUUAAAUGCUAGGUGGCGACUCUGUACUUAAUUAAUUAUUUAGAGUCCCAUAAGUUGUGCUUUGUUUAGCCUUUGGUAAAAAUAGGGUGCAACAUUCACUAGUAGCAAAAAAAUUGUCUUUAUGUACUAAAAGUACUAUCGGAUAAUCAUCUUCCAUUUGUUUUUGGAGAUCUCACGAUAAGAUGCUAACAAACUCAGUUUCUCUUUUGCUCUGGUGUUUUGUGUCAAUUCACCCCCAGUUUUCUCCUUAUUCUUUUCUUUUUCCUCUCUUGAAUUGCCAUUUUUCCCUCCCUUACUCCUCUCAUUCUUUUCUCUCUCAUCCUCUCUUGUAAUCAUCUUUCUUAGUUCACUCAUCUUUUUGUAUCCUUCAUUUACUUGCAAUGCUGUUAAGGGACUAAGAAUGUAUUUUUCCCCUUCAUGACAAAGGAGUAUUCAUUGGACCUUCCAUCAUGCUUAGCUCCUCUAUCAAACUACCAAAGUCGACCAAGUAGUAGAUGACAAGCAUGUAUAGUGUUACGGUUCGUAUUUCGCGGGCAGGUUUAGCCCUCGGAAAGCUACUUCGAACUCGUUGGUGCUAUUUCGGACUUUGUUUUAAAAGAGUCGCCACCUAAUUUUUAGGAAAACCAGUUUUGAAGAGUUUAUUCAUACACCGUGAAAAAUCCUUCGUAAUCCAAAGUUCUAGGUAAGGGUUCUGGUGAUCCCCUAGGGAAGGUGUUAGACACCUUAGUAUUAAGGAUUCGUACUAUAGGGUUGACCUUCGAAUUCUAAUGUAUGAAUAUUUGUAUGAACUGUUUAUUUAGUGUUUUAUUCCCACUUUGUAAAGUCUGCCAUUUUGCAUAUCAUUUUUUAAAAAAUAAAUUGAUAUAUCCCCUUUACAUAUAGGUAUUUAGGUUUGGAUUUAUAAUAUCCGGAUACAACUAGUUCCUUUUAUAUAUAAGGAUAGUAGUGGUUUUGCAAAGAUAUAAAAAAAGGUUUAUUUAUUUAAAGUGUGGAAUGAAUGGGUUUUGUUCAUGCUUGACUCAUACAUGAUUCGGGUUAAUUCGUUUUCAGAAUGUCCUUAUCUAAAACUUUUAUGUUUACAAAUUGUUAUAUCCCGCAUUUUUCGCAUUCGGAUAAUUUAAGGUAAUUGCGGGAGAUUAAGAGCAAGAUUAUAAGUUUGAUCUUGUUUGGUGUACAAGUUGUUUAUAAAAAUUUUGAAGUGGAAAUAUGGAGAAUGGCGAAGGGCAAAUUUGGAAAUUGGAAAAAUGCUUCAUGAAUUACAUAAACUAGCUAAAAAUUCAAGUGGGCUUGAAUUAAAUUUUUUAAGACAAAAUCAUAGGCCCAACCGGCCAUACCCAUGGGCUAGGCCCAAAGUGGGUCAAAGUAUGUAGUUAAAUAAGAUGACCAAGUCAUCUUUAUCAUAACAAUUUCUAGAAAUUUCAAGAAAAGAAGAACAAAGAAAGAAGGAGAAAACCCUAAGGCAUUUCAGCCAUAGUAAAAUUUCCCAAGGAAAAUUGAUAAAAUUCUUCCAAAAAUCAUUUCCUACCAAGCUAAAGGUACUUAACAAGGUGGAGUUGUUGUUGGAGCAAGAACAACUCAUAAUCCUACAAGUUGCCAAAAGAUAGGCAAGUGAGAAGUUGAAGAAGAAAGGUGAGUAUUGAUCUUGUUUUAUGAGUUAUGCAUGGUUUAUAUGUGUAGUAGUAUGUUAAAAUUGAUGAAAAUCAUGAAGGAGAGGAAUAUGAAGCAUGGCCGUGUAUGUAUAUGUAUAUAUAUGUGUGUAGAAAAUGUGUUUUAAUUAUCUUGCCUAGUGUUGGUUGUUAUGGUUGUGAAUGAAAUGUGGAAAAUGGAAGUUGAAUGAAUUUUAGGAGAGAUUGUAGUAUGCAUGCAUGUGGCCGUGUGUUGUGUGUAGUGGUGUGGCCGUGUGGUUGUGGUAUAAUAUGGAGGAGAACGAGUCAAUUUUAUGUAGUGCUUUGAUUGUCGUUAUGUUGCGGAUUCUUUGUGUUAAUGAUUAUCUAUGAACCUUAGCAAAGUUGAAAUGGUGGAGACUUGCUUUAGAAGUUAAACGAAUGGAAUGUAAUGUUUCUUUGUAUGCAUGAAAGACUAUAUGAUUAGUGUGAUGUCGUUGGAACGUAUACAUGAGCUCGUUAUUGAUUUUAUUGAAGUUGGACGGUUUUUGAAAAAAAAAAGUAGUGAAUUGUUUGAAUAUGGAAGUUGCUAGUGUAGUCGUUGAAUUCAUAUCGAUAGUUUGGCCGGGUUUGAAUUCCCGGAUUGUGAUUGAUGCGAAUUUGAAUAUGUUGAAUGUCGAGGAUGGUGUAUUUACAGUGGAAAUGCUGCCGAAAUUUCAGUAGCCAAUUGUUUCCUUAAGGUGUUAACUCUAAGUAUGCUAAUGAGAGUUUUGGUGAAAAUGACCAAAUCGCAGAUUUUGACGAGAUUGUGACUCGAAUUUGGAGUAGCUAAAGGAGCGGAAAGAGGUAUGUAAGGCUUCACCCUUCUUUCUAUGGCAUGUCUUGACUAAAAGAAGUCGGGUACGAGUCUCGGGGACAACCCUAAUCCCCGGAAUCCGCACCUAAAGUUUUUAACUUUUCGUUCAAUUGAAUUGAAGUAAAAGGUGUGCAAAAUGAUGAAAAGACCUUCUAUACCCCUAUAACUUGCCUAAGUGGGGCCCGAUUACCCUAAGACUCAUACAAGUAACGCUAUGACACGUAAUAUGGGUAAAUUGUAUACGCUACCUCGUCCGGCCCGAGGUGGGCCCGUUACUCUCGGAUUUUCCUAUAAUCUUGGUUAACGUACUUGAAGUGAAUCAAAAGGGGGCCUUUGAUCUCGAUUUCGUCACCAAGUGAUAAGUACUAUGACUACUCCAGCGGGAGUGUUUCUAUGAUGAUAAUGAUAAUGACAAUGUCGGACAAGAGAAUGUUGCUAUGAUAAGUACGACCGGAACGACUCUACGGCUAAGCCGAGUACCUAAUAUAAACAUGAAAGCGAUAAACUAAUUUUUAAUCAUAUUUAUAUUUUCUAGCUAUAACUUUAUUUUCUAAGAUUCCAAAACCUAUGGCUGUCAUCUAAAAUGCUUAAGAUUUCGUUUUCGGUUACUGUAACACUAUUCUCCGUUGAUAGUCUCGCCUUAAAAUACUUGUUCCUUCAAGGUGAGACGAAGCUAUCACUAGCAUUCCGUAAUGUAAUCGGAGGUCUCCGACCUUAUGUCACUCCGAUGGAUACAUGAUUUUCCUUGGCUCUCUUGUGUGCUUAUAUGAUAUAGGUACAUAAAACGGGUAUACGUGUAUGGGUAUGUAUAUAUAUAUGGUAAAGUAAAUGUAUAUAAGACAUGUAUAUGCAUAAAAGAUGAGUAAAUGUAUAUGUAUGUGUAUGUGGGGAAAAAGGGAAGGGCCACUGUUAUAUCACCACCUGAUUCAGCUGGAUUCCAUCCUGGACGCGGGAUGCUCGGACGCGGGAUAUGGGAUGAGCCGUACGCGGCGUCUGUAUAUAUAUAUAUAUAUAUAUAUAUAUAUAUAUAUAUAUAUAAUGUGUGAUACAUAUGUGAUGUAAUAUGUUGGGUCAUCGUUGGGGAGGGGGUUGGGAGAGCCGAUUGUAUUCGGCGUCUGUAAAUGUAAAUGAAAGAUACCGUCUACUGAAUUGUACUGUUUUCUGUAUACAUGAAUAAGGGACACCGAGGGGGUUGGGAGAGCCGAUUGUAUUCGGCGUCUGUAAAUGUGAGCAAAAGAUACCGUUACUGAAAUGUACUGUUUUCUGUACACGAGAAUAAGUAAUAUAAAAAUGUUGACUCCUAUGCCCAUGAAAAGAAACGUUUCAAAGAUAAAAAGACAAGCCUACAUGACAGCCGGCCUAAAGAGGGGCCUUCCUAUGUACAGGUUAGGUUCUUGCCUCGUUAUACGCCCUAUGGCUCCGUGAUAUUAUUAUUGAUCGUACUUUAUGUUACUGCUUGCAUUGUUUUCCAUGCCUUACAUACUCGGUACAUUAUUCGUACUGACGUCCCUUCUUGUGGACGCUGCGUUUCAUGCCGCGCAGGUCAGCAGGUAUACGGACCAGAUUCCUAGCGCCCUAUCAGCAGCAUUCGACAGCGCUCCAGUUGUUCCGGAGCCUUAUUUCAUCGGUACUAUUUUGUGUAUGUAUUUUCGGGCGCGAUAGUACUCGGCCCUUUCUCUGUAUAAAUGUACUAUGCCUAGAGGCUCGUAGACAGAUAUACACAGUCAGCUAUGUACAGUUUAAUGUAUUUUAUUCCGAAUGGUUCGCGUUCUGGUGUAACGCGAUAUUAGAAAGUUUACUGCAAA